AUCGUUUUUCAGCCUUUUGGCUCAGAUCAAGUGUGAUAUUCUUAUCAGUUUAAUAACUGGUACAUAAAAAAAAAAUCUAUAUUAAAAACAAUUCCUCUCUGUGCUUCAACUACAAAUCCCUU
ensembl:snRNA U2 U2 spliceosomal RNA